AUCCUCCAAAUUCCUUGUCCAUCAAAUCUAACCAUUGGUCUGAGUGGCUAUAAAUAGACCAAAAGUAAAACGAAAGUGAAGUUGGAUGCUUUAGUGGCAUACAGAUUAGUUCAUUUCAAACAAAC
rnacentral:snoRNA from 1 species